UCUCUCUCUCAUAUGAAAUAGGAGAGCUGCAGUGCAGGCUCCUGGGGUCCUAAAAGUGAGUUCUAACUAUAAGGAUUAUAUAAGACAUCCAUAAGAGUAUCUUCUGGAAUACCAUAUGAUGCUGGGAGAGAUGAAACACAGGACUGUGUUACUGUGCCCCAAAUUGUUUUUACUUAGAUUCUAUAAGAACCACCAUGUUAUAAAGUUGGCAGAGCUAGCAACAUCUAUAAGAUGCAAAUGAUGGAAUCUCAUCAGUAUAAACAUUUAUUCACAUGUAGGGUGAGCAAACAUUUAUGAACAAACAUUGGGGUUUGUCUAGUACGCCGUGUACCUCCCUGGAUACAGCUACAGAGUGUAGUGCAUCACCUGUUCAUGAAGAUAAUGGAGACCCUGAAAUUCUUUUUCUUUCCAUUGUGAUUCCUCAGAUGAACAAAAUGGUCUAAUAUGAGCCUCAUACAUGAAAGGCAAGCCCAACCCAUCCUUUUUUCAAAUAUUAUUUAAUAGUUAGCUGGCUUCAUGGAUACAGAACUCAUGAAUAUGGAGGAAAAUAUGUAUAUUAUAAAAAUAUAUUUAUUAUAUAAAUAUAUAUUUUAUAUAAUUUAAUGUAUAUGUAGUCAUUCUUGUCCCCACAUGAAAGGUGACAGGUUUCAAUUAAAAUUCUUCAGAAAUUCUCAGAGGAUGGCAAGCCAACCAGAGUUAAGACUGUUUCCAACAGACAAAGCAAAUACUCAUUUAUUUCUCUCUAAUUCUUAGAAAAAUGAAGUGGAAGUUUAACCCCAGGGCUUCUCCAGCUCCUAGGUAUGAGAAGGACCAGUUUGCUCUCAUGAAGCUGUGAGUAGGACUCAGCCUACAAGCAGAAGUGGUCCUCACACAAGAAACAUUGGCAAAGCUGAGAGCACACAUCUCUACCAUGAGUCUUUCUUCUUUCCAUGUGUAUUCUCCUAGCCCUCCCUCCACAUGCCACCCCAAAUAAGUCACCGGUCGGCCCAUCCAUCAUCACACUGUGGGAUGGCAUCUUUGGGUGCUGCUCCUUAUAUCUUUAGAGGUACCAGCCAGUACCUGUGAUGUUGGUCUCCUUCCCCACCCCAACUCCCACCCGCCAGACAUCCCCUGGGUUUUUACUGCUGGUUACUUGAUAUCUAGUAAUAUGCUCAAUAAUUCUGUAGUAGUAGAAACGUCAGGUUAUUUAAAACUGUGUGUACAUGAAAAGCAGAAAUUAAACUGUCUAAGGGAUCAAGGCACCUAAUGGGAGGUGGAGAGACGAGGAAAGAGGGGUGUGAGAAAGGCUAUGUUCAAUAUACAAUAUGUACUUCUAGGAAAGCGUAAAAGAAUUAAAUGCACAUACAAAGAAGUU
rnacentral:lncRNA from 1 species